AGCGGGUUGGGGAAGCCUGGCCUAUCCCGCGGGGCUCAUAACCCCGAGAUCGGUCGUUCAAAUCGACCACCCGCUACCA
rnacentral:tRNA from 1 species